UACAGAGGUCUCAAGCGUUGUUCGGAUUCAUUGGGCGUAAAGGGUGCGUAGGCGGCGCGGUAAGUCGGGUGUGAAAUCUCGGAGCUUAACUCCGAAACUGCAUUCGAUACUGCCGUGCUUGAGGACUGGAGAGGAGACUGGAAUUUACGGUGUAGCGGUGAAAUGCGCAGAUAUCAGGAGGAACACCGGUGGCGAAGGCGGUUCUCUGGGCAUUACCUGACGCUGAGGAGCGAAAGUGUGGGGAGCAAACAGG
rnacentral:rRNA from 1 species